GUGGGGAAUAUUGCACAAUGGGCGCAAGCCUGAUGCAGCCAUGCCGCGUGUAUGAAGAAGGCCUUCGGGUUGUAAAGUACUUUCAGCGGGGAGGAAGGGAGUGAGGUUAAUAACCUUAUUCAUUGACGUUACCCGCAGAAGAAGCACCGGCUAACUCCGUGCCAGCAGCCGCGGUAAUACGGAGGGUGCAAGCGUUAAUCGGAAUUACUGGGCGUAAAGCGCACGCAGGCGGUCUGUCAAGUCGGAUGUGAAAUCCCCGGGCUCAACCUGGGAACUGCAUUCGAAACUGGCAGGCUGGAGUCUUGUAGAGGGGGGUAGAAUUCCAGGUGUAGCGGUGAAAUGCGUAGAGAUCUGGAGGAAUACCGGUGGCGAAGGCGGCCCCCUGGACAAAGACUGACGCUCAGGUGCGAAAGCGUGGGGAGCAAACAGG
rnacentral:rRNA from 1 species